rnacentral:lncRNA from 8 species
AAUAAUUGUCUCCUUUUAUAAUGCACAUUGUUGAAGAAGAAAAGUUUCAAAUGAAAUCACACUGCAACAUUAUGAUGUUUACAGUAUUUGUUGUACUUUGCACAAUGCUUUAGGCUCUACAAAAUUGUUGCCCCUGUGUUUAUCUGAAAGCACAGGUUGGGUGACAAUUGUUGAGACGUAUCUGAUCAUUAACUUUGAUCUAUACCUCUCAGUUCAGAUGGAGGAAAGGAUAUAAGGAUAUGACAGGUAGACACUUUAGACUAUUGACACUACCUACUUCCCUCUCUCCUUCCCUCCCUCCCUCUCUCACUACCUACUUCCCUCCCUCUCUCACUACCUACUUCCCUCCCUCUCUCACUACCUACUUCCCUCUCUCCUUCCCUCUCUCACUACCUACUUCCCUCUCUCCUUCCCUCUCUCACUACCUACUUCUCUCUCCCUUGGCAGUGUGGAAUCGACUGAUGUCAACUGGAAGAGGAAGAAAAGCGGGGGCAUCAAGAUCAUUUGCCAAUCAGAGACCAGGGAUUUUUCAGCCAUGGCCUUCAUUACGGACCAUGUCAAUUCCCUCAUCGAACAGUGGUUCCCUGACCUGACGGCCAGUGAGAGUGAUGGGACCCGAUUGAUUGAGCAGUACGCCCCCUGUCCCCAGUGUUCCUCCAUGAUCAGACAGAACCAGGGACCUGGGGGUCUGGGGGAACCCCCAACCAGGGGGACUGGAGCUGGGAGAAGAGGAGGAGAAGGUAGGGUGGGCCAAUAUACAGUCAACUUCUGAAGGAAUGUCUAGGGGCUAUUACAAAGGUUUUUAAAUUAAACCCAAUCAAUGCGGACAUUAAGCACUAAAACAUUGAUUUGCUUUAGUGAAAGCAUACCCUUGUAAUGUAUUAUUACUUGUUAUAAGCAUGCAUGAGCACCUAUAAUGUUUUAUAAAUGACCUCAAGAUGGCGCCGACAGAGGGCUGCCUCGCUUCUAGUCCUUAGGAAACUUUGCAUUAUUUUGUUUUUUAUGUAAUAUUUCUUACAUUGUUAGCCUGGAAAAUCUUAAGUGUUAUUACAUACAGCCGAGAAGAACUAUUGGAUAUCAGAGCGACGUCAACUUACCAGGAAUACAACUUUCCCAAAGCGGACCCUUUGUCCGAACCACCCAGGGCAUUUGAACUGAUUCCAGAGGCCAACCCAAAACAACGCCACCAGAGAAGAGGUAGACGGAGCAGUCUUCAGGUCAGACUUCAGGCACACCACCCACCGCUUCCAAGUAUAUUACUUGCUAAUGUCCAGUCUCUAGAUAACUAGGUAUACGAAAUUAGGGCAAGAGUUGCUUUCCAGAGAGACAUCAGGGAUUGUAACAUACUCUGUUUCACGGAAACAUGGCUCUCUUGGGAUAUGCUGUCGGAGUCGGUACAGCCACCAUCUCUCCGGGAAGAAAAGGGCAAGGGUGUAUGUUUCAUGAUUAACAACUCAUGGUGUAAUUGGAACAACAUACAGGAACUCAAGUCCUUUUGUUCACCUGACCUAGAAUUCCUUACAAUCAAAUGCCGACCGUAUUAUCUCCCAAGAGAAUUCUCGUCGGUUACGGUCACAGCCGUGUAUAUCCCCCCUUAAGCCGAAACCACGACGGCCCUCAAGGAACUUCACUGGACUUUAUGCAAACUGGAAACCAUAUAUCCUGAGGCUGCAUUUAUUGUAGCUGAGGAUUUUAACAAAGCAAAUUUGAGAACAAGGCUACCUCAAUUCUACCAGCAUAUUAACUGUAGCACUCGCGCUAGAAAAACACUGGAUCACUGCUACUCUAACUUCCACAAUGCAUACAGGCCCUCCCCCGCCCUCCUUUCGACAAAUUUGACCACGACUCCAUUUUGCUCCUCCAAUCCUAUAGGCAGAAACUCAAACAUGAUGUACCCGUGCUAAGGACUAUUCAAUGCUGGUCUGACCAAUCGGAAUCCACGCUUCAAGAUUAUUUUGAUCACGCGGACUGGGAUAUGUUCUGGGUAGCCUCAGAUAAUAAUAUCGACGUAUACGCUGAUUCAGUGAGUGAGUUUAUAAGGAAGUAUAGUGGCAUACUGUGACUAUUAAAACCUACCCUACCCUAAAACUGUGGAUAGAUAGCGGAAUUCGCGCAAAACUGAAAGCGCGAACCACCGCAUUUAAUCAUGGAAAGGUGACUGGGAAUAUGCCCAAAUACAAAAAGUGUAGUUAUUCCCUCCGCAAGGCAAUCAAUCAAGCGAAAUGUCAGUAUAGAGACAAAGUGGAGUUGCAAUUCAACGGCUCAGACACGAGACGUAUGUGGCAGGGUCUACAGACAAUCACGGACUACAAAAGGAAAACCAGCCACGUUAGGGACACCGAUGUCUUGCUUCCAGACAAACUAAACACCUUCUUUGCCCGCUUUGAGGAUAAUACAGUGCCACCGACGUGACCCGCUACCAAGGACUGUGGGCUCUCCUUCUCCGUGACCGACGUGAGUAAGACAUUUAAACGUGUUAACCCUAACAAGGCUCCUGGCCCAGACAGCAUCCCUAGCCGCGUUCUCAGAGCAUGCACAGACCAGCUGGCUGGUGUGUUUACGGACAUAUUCAAUCUCUCCCUGUCCCAGUCUGCUGUCCCCACAUGCUUCAAGAUGACCACCAUUGUUCCAAGAAGGCAACUGAACUAAAUGACUAUCGCCCCGUAGCACUCACUUCUGUCAUCAUGAAGUGCUUUGAGAGACUAGUCAAGGAUCAUAUCACCUCCACCUUACCUGUCACCCUAGACGCACUUCAAUAGGUCCACAGACGAUGCAAUCGCCAUCACACUGCCCUAUCCCAUCUGGACA